rnacentral:rRNA from 1 species
UACGUAGGUGGCAAGCGUUGUCCGGAUUUACUGGGCGUAAAGAGCGCGCAGGCGGUCGUUCAAGUCGCGUGUGAAAGCCCCCCGGCUCAACUGGGGAGGGUCACGCGAUACUGAUCGACUCGAAGGCAGGAGAGGGUAGUGGAAUUCCCGGUGUAGUGGUGAAAUGCGUAGAUAUUCGGAGGAACACCAGUGGCGAAGGCGGCUCACUGGCUCGACACUGACGCUGAGGUGCGAAAGCGUGGGGAGCAAACAGG